rnacentral:rRNA from 1 species
UACGUAGGGCGCAAGCGUUAUCCGGAAUUAUUGGGCGUAAAGAGCUCGUAGGCGGUUUGUCGCGUCUGCUGUGAAAGACCGGGGCUCAACUCCGGUUCUGCAGUGGGUACGGGCAGACUAGAGUGCAGUAGGGGAGACUGGAAUUCCUGGUGUAGCGGUGAAAUGCGCAGAUAUCGGGAAGAACACCCGUGGCGAAGGCGGUUCUCUGGGACGGUACUGACGCUGAGACGCGAAAGCGUGGGGAGCGAACAGG